CUUCCUGCACGCACUCGCUCCUGAUGGGAGUGCACAGCAUCACAGCACUAUCUUCCUUUUCUUUUCUUUUUUGAGAGGACAGCACUAUCUUUCUUGAUCCUUCCUUGCAUGACAUGCAUACUUUAUGAGAGCAGGAGCCGACCAAAGGAAAGGCUUGCAUCUGCACACACGAAAUUCGCGUUGCUCUGUUUGCUUGGCUUCUUUCUCCUCUGAUCUCUUUCUCCUCCCGUGCUUCCCGAUUAUUUUUGUCCAGCAGCAACGUGCUAGCUUUCCUUGGUUGGCAUGAAAAUCGGCCGAGGAAGAAACUUCUGCCUGACACCACCUGUUUCUCCUCGAUUGGCGUCAAGACCUGAAAGUGUCUCUUUUGCCCAAAGAAAAUCUGCCGGCUGCAGACUUCAAGGCCGUGGUUCUGCGUACCCGAGGAGCAGCCCGGAGCAACGCGCAGCCGCGAGAGGACGCCGUGGAUUGCACGGCCGAGCGCCCCGUCUACUGCCCCAUCGACGCGUUCUGCGGUGCAUAGUUCCAAGCGGUGCUGUGCGCCCUUAUUUUCAUGUGCUACAAGUAUUUCACUUGUUUU